UUUUCUUCACUUAUUUUUUCCUUAACUUUGUCUCUCCUCCCUUUUCUUUUCUCCAUUUCCCCAAUACAAAUUGAAGUAAUUUUCUGGGUUCUUGGGAAUUUUUCAGUUUUCUUUUUGCUUGUUUAAGUAGAGAAGAAGAAGAAAGUAAAAAAAAGUUUAGAUUUUUUUCCUGUUUUAUUCACCUUUCUGAGUUCUAAUCCAUCUUUUGUUUCUGGGUUCUUGGGGUUUUUUCAUUUUGUUGUACUAUCUUGAAGGGAAGUGAAAAAAGGGAGGAUUUUUGGAGUAUUAGU
rnacentral:lncRNA from 1 species